rnacentral:rRNA from 1 species
GAUGAACGCUGGCGGCGUGCCUAAUACAUGCAAGUCGAGCGAACAGACGAGGAGCUUGCUCCUUCGACGUUAGCGGCGGACGGGUGAGUAACACGUAGGUAACCUACCUAUAAGACUGGGAUAACUUCGGGAAACCGGAGCUAAUACCGGAUAAUAUUUCGAACCGCAUGGUUCGAUAGUGAAAGAUGGCUUUGCUAUCACUUAUAGAUGGACCUGCGCCGUAUUAGCUAGUUGGUAAGGUAACGGCUUACCAAGGCAACGAUACGUAGCCGACCUGAGAGGGUGAUCGACCACACUGGAACUGAGACACGGUCCAGACGACUACGGGAGGCAGCAGUAGGGAAUCUUCCGCAAUGGGCGAAAGCCUGACGGAGCAACGCCGCGUGAGUGAUGAAGGUCUUCGGAUCGUAAAAAUCUGUUAUUAGGGAAGAACAAACGUGUAAGUAACUGUGCACGUCUUGACGGUACCUAAUCAGAAAGCCACGGCUAACUACGUG